GACCUUCCACUGAGCUGCAGGAAGGGCACCAGUCCCAAAGGGAAAGGGAUGGCAAUUCAGCAGACCUUCUGCAGAUGAAAAUCCUACUGGAAAAAGGCUUUGAAACACACCUGAGCACAUCACUUGGUGACACUAUUUGAGAAGAUGUAAGCCAAGGGAAGCUGAUCCCUUCUGUUUUUAUACCCAAAUCCAAUGUCAGCACUCACCAUCUCCCAUUUCAUCCGAGAAGGGCAGACUGAAAACGGCCUCGUCGAUCAUCCGGUUGGGGAGGUUGGUGUAGAACCUCCCAACUGUGGUCUCCAGAUUGCUCAGCUGGUUCAGGACCAUCAUGCUGCCCUUGGUCACAGGAAGGGCUGUUCUGUCUGGCACCCCAUAUUUCACCGAGUUCUGCUCUGCCAGGUCCCUCAGAAAGGCCAGUUCCUUCAACCCUGUCACCCCCUCUGAAACACAGAUGCAAGAAACAGAAGGAAGCAGACAAAAGAAUUUCCAUCAAGGCUUCUGUAUCUUACUCCAAAUAACUGUAAAUAAAAGCAAAGUUAUACAUCC